ensembl:lncRNA novel transcript
ACAGUGCUCCUGCCUGACUCGGGAAGACUGCUCUCCUGGCCUCCUGGAAGUCAUAUGGGAAACAGGGCAACAUCAAACAGAAGGAAACAGAAGACAGAAGACCCAGAGCAACAGAUACCCAGUUUUUCAGCUCCAUUAACUGAAAGACUCUUUUCCUGAAUGUUGUCCUUGCAUCAUUGCACAAAAUCAGCUUACCAUAAAGGGUUGUAGGAUUUUUCUUCUCAGUCACUUUGCAAGCCAGGGACCCUCGAUCGAUGACGCCCCGCCCGGGCCUUGCUCUGCCACGCUGCAUGCCCCAGCUCGCCUGUGUGAUAGCUUGUACCCACGUUCAGUGGUUCCUGAGCUUUUGCACCCUGCCCAAGAAGAAUGAGGAUAUGCUGGACAUUGAAGGUUCCAUCCAUUGAAGUCUGAGUUCCGUGAGAAACAGAAUCAGAACUCUUGCCAAUUGGACUGCAAGAUGUCUUCAUCUACGUAUGCUGUCAUAAAAAACACUAUGGACUAUGGGGCAAGAAAAAUGUAAUAUUUUUCUCUCACGGUUUUGGAGACUGGAAAGUUCAAGUGUCCAGCAGGGCUCAUUUUGUGUUGGGGGCUCUCUUUCUGGCAUGCAGAUGCUUCCUUCUCGCUGUGUCCUCGCAUGGUGGCAAGAGAGCAACCUCAGGUGUCUCUUUCUCUUUCAAAGGACACCAGUUCUCUCAGAUCAGGGCUUCACCGUUAUGAUCUCUCUUAAUCUUAAUCUGUCCUUCAAGGUCAUAUUUCCAACAUAGUCACACGGAGGCUUAGGGCUUUUAACAUACACGUAUGAAUUUUGGGGGACACCAUUCAGUCCAUAGCAAAAGGCCAGCUUCUGAUAUUCCCACAUCAGUCAGUGAUUGGAUAUAGACCAAUGGGAAUGUGUGAUAAUCCUUGGAUCAUCUGAGGCAAUCUCCAAAAAGGCUGAAAACCGAGGGCUGCCUACCGCUGGCACUCUGAGCAGCAUACACCACAUGCUCCAUCAGUGUUACUGCCCUCAGCUGGGGAGAACCCCCCUCACACAAGUUGUGAUACCUUCCUAGAGGCAGCCUGCAUUCAAUGACAGCUUGAGAGGGGCGUAAAGGGCCAGCCACUCUGACCUGAUUCAGGACAAUUCUGCAAGGCUCUCCAAGCUCCAGAAUUCCUAUACUGUUUCCUGAACCUUUGUUGUCACCGUUUCCCAAACUACUUUUCUUUUUGUCAAUCCUGACCCUUUCCCUCUCCUACUACAGAUGUUGGUCACUCGAAUACUCGCAGCACACUUCUAUGAAUGAAUCUUUGUCUCAGAGAUUGCUCCCCAAGGAACCCAGUCAGUGCCAUCGGAAAUCAAAACAUUUAUUUAUUUAUUUUAAAAAUAUGUAAAUAAAAUGAUUAUUUUCACCAUUUUAAUGUACAAGUUAGUGAUCAUUACACAUUUAAUACUUGCAUGAAAACAUCACAUUUACCGCAUAAAUAUGGACAACUAUUAUGCAUCUAUUAUAAUUAAAAAUAAAACAUUUAUAAAUGAGAACAUACUGGAAAUGUGUAGUCAUGAUGGUGGCACCAUCUUAUGUUUUUAAAUUAAGAAUUUUGGAGCAGGAAAUGUUUUCUGUCUGUACCUAGGUCUUUACAUAUCAGAAAAUUUCAUAAAAGACCAGAAUAAAAGUAGCCAUACAAAAUACAACCACAAAAUAUGUAUUAAAUAGCCUACCAAAAUGCCACAAUGUAUCAUUAUAAUCACUAUUAAAUAUUUAUUAUGCAACAGUAUCAUUUAUGCAAUAGGAUUUUUUAUAAACCAGCAAUUUGCACUUUGAAAUUCAAUUUCAGUGAAUCACAAGCUUAAAAAUUGAAAUUCAAAUUAAGCAUUUCCUUUAUUCAAAGUCAUAUAUCAUAUUGAAAAUAAUCUGUAUUUUUAUUGCAAAAGAACACUUUAAGAAAACCCUAGAGAAUUGUUUGACCUAAUAAUUGUAAUUGUGCAUGUAUUUCUUAAUAUUAUUGAUUAAAUUUAUAUUUAGCCAUUUCUCUCAGCUAUAUAUAGUUACAGCAAAGCUAUUUUGCAUCAACAUAUAUGUCUCCCUAACUAUGAUAAAGAAUAUGGUAAUGAUGUUGUAAAUUGAUUGGAAAAGAUGAUCUAUCAAUUCUUUUGCAGCUUCCGAAUUCCAAAAGGUCAUUGCAUGCUAUGUGUAUAUUUUUAUUCUUUCAAAUCCUUCCGAUUACACAGAAAUAAUAAAAUAUUACCCACAGCAACCAAA